rnacentral:tRNA from 1 species
UCAGCUAGGGUGUAAGGAUUGCACGUUGGGGUUUGGAUCCAAAAGUUAAUAAAAUUAUUAUUGUUGAG